rnacentral:rRNA from 1 species
CGGACGGGUGAGUAAUGCUUGGGAAUCUAGCUUAUGGAGGGGGAUAACUACGGGAAACUGUAGCUAAUACCGCGUAAUAUCGAAAGAUUAAAGUGUGGGACCUUCGGGCCACAUGCCAUAAGAUGAGCCCAAGUGGGAUUAGGUAGUUGGUGAGGUAAAGGCUCACCAAGCCGACGACCUCUAGCUGGUCUGAGAGGAUGACCAGCCACACUGGGACUGAGACACGGCCCAG